rnacentral:rRNA from 1 species
AGCAGCCGCGGUAAUUCCAGCUCCAAUAGCGUAUAUUAAAGUUGUUGCAGUUAAAAAGCUCGUAGUUGAAUUUCGGGGUUAGUAGAUUGGUCGUGCCACUGGUAUGUACUGGUCUUACUGAUUCCUCCUUCCUGAUGAACCGUAAUGCCAUUAAUUUGGUGUUGCGGGGAGACUGGACUGUUACUUUGAAAAAAUUAGAGUGUUUAAAGCAGGCUAACGCUUGAAUGCAUUAGCAUGGAAUAAUGAAAUAGGACGUUCGAUCCUAUUUUGUUGGUUUCUAGGAUUGACGUAAUGAUUAAUAGGGAUAGUUGGGGGCAUUAGUAUUCAAUUGUCAGAGGUGAAAUUCUUGGAUUUAUUGAAGACUAACUACUGCGAAAGCAUUUGCCAAGGAUGUUUUCAUUAAUCAAGAACGAAAGUUAGGGGAUCGAAGACGAUCAGAUACCGUCGUAG